rnacentral:lncRNA from 1 species
GGUUUCUACUAGUCACUCAUCCAGGCGAACUAUAAUCCCAAUUGGGGUCCCAAUCAGGAAACACUCCAGUGCCAAUCAGAUGGCAGGGGGGUCCGAUGAACCCCAUCAGCAUAAUUUCUAGCUUGCUCCCAAACUCGCCUGCGCUCCUCGGCAGGAUGGUGUUAGACAAGCUCAUGUGGACGUCGUGGAAGGUCAAGUCAUAUGAUUGGGUCAGAUACUGAAACUCUUGGAUGUACGUGGUGGGAGCCAUUUAGAGUCCAAAGGAUAUUGAGGCCAGAUCUGAUUGCACAUUGAAGUACAGGACCUAGGUGGCUUUUCUAUCUGUGAAAGAUGUGAGAAAGAGAAAGGCACAGGAACCCGGAUGACCCCAUCCACCCCAGCCACCUCACGUAGAGGACACAGAGAUGUGGGUUGGGCUGCGGCAGCCCGUGAGCGUGUCACAGGAGGAGAGAAGGGCGGAGGGGCGGAGGGGACAGUUGCUGCGGUGGCUUCACCAGAAGGAGAACUGUGGUAUGGCAGGGACUCAUCCACUGGGUCGAGGGAGAAAGAGUCCUGGGUAGGACCUUCUGUCCCUUUGGAAGCAGGCACAGGGAGGUGAGAGCUGAGAGGACUUGUGGGGACAGCAGGAGUUGCAGAGAGAGGGCUUAGAACAUAGGGAGGAGAAGCCUUUCCAUUUUCCCAGACACUCACGAUAGUUGAGAAGAUCCCUGAUAAUACUGUAUCUAGAGUGCCGUUAAGCAGCCAUUUAGAGUCCAAAGGAUAUUGAGGCCAGAUCUGAUUGCACAAGUGGAUAAGUUUUGGGGGGUUUUGGUCCGGGGUGAGAGAGAGGGACCCUAGGUUAGCCGGGAGGCAGCCUGGGGGACUGUGGGCGGGAAUGGAUGAGAAGCUGCCCAUGGUGAGACGG